rnacentral:rRNA from 1 species
GAUAAGGUUAAGUGAAUAAGGGCGCACGGUGGAUGCCUUGGCACUAGGAGCCGAUGAAGGACGGGACUAACACCGAUAUGCUUUGGGGAGCUGUAAGUAAGCUAUGAUCCAGAGAUUUCCGAAUGGGGGAACCCAAUAUCUUUUAUAGGAUAUUACUUUUCAGUGAAUACAUAGCUGAUUAGAGGUAGACGCAGAGAACUGAAACAUCUUAGUACCUGCAGGAAGAGAAAGAAAAUUCGAUUCCCUGAGUAGCGGCGAGCGAAACGGGAAGAGCCCAAACCAACAAGCUUGCUUGUUGGGGUUGUAGGACUCCAAUAUGGUAGUCUGUUAGUAUAGUUGAAGGAUUUGGAAAAUUCCGCUAAAGAGGGUGAAAGCCCCGUAGACGAAAUGCUGACAACACCUAGGAGGAUCCUGAGGACGGCGGAACACGAGAAAUUCCGUCGGAAUCCGCGGGGACCAUCCCGCAAGGCUAAAUACUCCCUAGUGACCGAUAGUGAACCAGUACCGUGAGGGAAAGGUGAAAAGCACCCCGGAAGGGGAGUGAAAUAGAUCCUGAAACCGUGUGCCUACAACAAGUCAAAGCUCGUUAAUGAGUGAUGGCGUGCCUUUUGUAGAAUGAACCGGCGAGUUACGAUUGCAUGCGAGGUUAAGUCGAAGAGACGGAGCCGCAGCGAAAGCGAGUCUGAAUAGGGCGAAUGAGUAUGUAGU